rnacentral:rRNA from 1 species
AACGAACGCUGGCGGCAGGCCUAACACAUGCAAGUCGAACGCUCCAGCAAUGGAGAGUGGCAGACGGGUGAGUAACGCGUGGGAACCUACCCUUUGGUUCGGAAUAGCCCAGGGAAACUUGGGGUAAUACCGGAUAAGCCCUUCGGGGGAAAGAUUUAUCGCCAAUGGAUGGGCCCGCGUCGGAUUAGCUAGUUGGUGGGGUAACGGCCCACCAAGGCGACGAUCCGUAGCUGGUCUGAGAGGAUGAUCAACCACACUGGGACUGAGACACGGCCCAGACGCCUACGGGAGGCAGCAGUGGGGAAUAUUGGACAAUGGGCGCAAGCCUGAUCCAGCCAUGCCGCGUGAGUGACGAAGGUCUUCGGAUUGUAAAGCUCUUUUGGCGGGGAAGAUAAUGACGGUACCCGCAGAAUAAGCCCCGGCUAACUUCGUGCCAGCCGCCGCCGUAA